GGGAAAAGUUAAAGGGGUCGUGCGUGCGAUUGUGGAAGUUGUUCUGUUUCGAGGGUUAUCUGAGUUUAUUCAUAGGAAAUCAGAUUUACAUGUCUUCAUGCCAAGAAGAAUUAAACCGAGCUUAUGACCAAGGAUCUAGCCUAAGACGGCAGAGAUCGAGUUUCCGGUGCCUGAUAGACUGCCUUAGUCUGCUGAAGCUUCGUUAUCGAUUGCCAGUACGUGUUUUGAGUUGGGCAUAGAGUCUAUUGUGUUAUGAUGUAUAUGAAGGGAUGAAAACCCUUUCAGCGAAAUAAUUACAGAAAUCCAAUUUUAAUUGGAACCUUAAAAAUACCAAUACAUUGGCAAAAAAUUACAAAAACAAUUUUUUAUGGUUAAACAUGCUUUGAAUAAAAAAUACAGAGAAGAAAACUUACGCU